CGCCUCGCCUCCCCGCCCCUGGCCGCCCCUCCCCACCUCGUCCAAGGGGGCCGGAACGGCGUCGGCGCGCGGGGGCUUUUCGGAGCAGUCGAGUGGAAAAUAGACUUUAACCCGCUUUGUGGCGGCCGGGGCGCCCGGAGCGCUCUCCAAACCAAGGCUCCUGGCGCUCAGGCGGGCCGCUGCCAAGACCCGGCCUGGAGUCCCUGCAGAGUUGCGCGGCGCGUGGACCCCGUGGCCUUGGGGCGUCAGGAGGCCCAGCCUGGAUCUGCGCGCCUGGGCGGCGCUCAGGCCGCUAGGAUGGACCCCGGCAGCGGCGAGGAAGCGGAACUCUCUGCGGCUUCCUCUCCACAGUGCGCUGGCAAGGUCCAGGUCCCAGCCUCCCCACCGCUGCCCGCGCCCUCCUAGGCCUCGGAGCACCGCCUUUCUGCGGCCUGGAAGGUCGGGGUGGGAAAGUUUGCGGAGUUCCGGCUCUCACGGCCAGUCGUGAGAAUUGCCCCCAGGGAAUUCGUCCGCAACACAGAAAAACUGGCCGGAGCAGAGCCGUCCGCGGUUCCGCGGUUGCAGGUGGAAGGUGAAGGUCGAGGGAGGUCAGGCUGCCUCUGCGUGUCCUGACGGCCGGCGUGUUCUCUUGGGAUGGGCUGCGGCUACUUGGACAGCUUCAAUUUAAGCCACAGUGUCUCCGAGGCCCUGGCCUGGUCCGGCCCGCUGACACUUGAGCCCCCCGAGCCUCAGAGAAGGCGAGGAGGUGGAUCGCCCAGUGCCGAGGCCCGCCGUCCUGGUCCGAGCCGGUCGCGGCGCGGUGGCUGGGCACAGGAGCUGCUUCCAGCCCCGCGAACAGCUGGAGGGUUGCAGUGGGACCGCUUCGGCGGCUUCUCCCGCGCAAUGCCCCGUCUGGCCCCUUGUGAAGGCAGUGAGCGUCCCCUUUCCAGAGCUGUCCCCCGUGACAUCCAGAAAACGCGAAACCUCAGGAACAAGGCCGCAGCUUCAGACCGCGGCCCAGGAGGCCGAUAGUGGCCAGCGACGUGCCCCAGGACGGGCUGCUUCUGCACGGCCCCUUCGCACGCAAGCCCAAGCGGAUCCGUACGGCCUUCUCGCCCUCGCAGCUGCUGCGGCUGGAGCGCGCCUUCGAGAAGAACCACUACGUGGUGGGCGCCGAGCGGAAGCAGCUGGCCGGCAGUCUCAGCCUUUCCGAGACGCAGGUGAAGGUGUGGUUCCAGAACCGGAGGACAAAGUACAAACGGCAGAAGCUGGAGGAGGAAGGGCCUGAGUCCGAGCAGAAGAAGAAGGGCUCCCAUCACAUCAACCGGUGGCGCAUCGCCACGAAGCAGGCCAAUGGGGAGGACAUCGAUGUCACCUCCAAUGACUAGGGUGGGCCACCACAAACCCACGAGGGCAGAGUGCUGCUUGCUGCUGGCCAGGCCCCUGCGUGGGCCCAAGCUGGACUCUGGCCACUCCCUGGCCAGGCUUCGGGGAGGCCUGGAGUCAUGGCCCCACAGGGCUUGAAGUCCGGGGCUGCCAUUGACAGAGGGACAAGCAAUGGGCUGGCUGAGGCCUGGGACCACUUGGCCUUCUCCUCGGAGAGCCUGCCUGCCUGGGCGGGCCCGCCCGCCACCACAGCCUCCCAGCUGCUCUCCGUGUCUCCAAUCUCCCUUUUGUUUUGAUGCGUUUCUGUUUUAAUUUAUUUUCCAGGCACCACUGUAGUUUAGUGAUCCCCAGUGUCUCCCUUCCCUAUGGGAAUAAUAAAAGUCUCUCUCUUAAUGACACGGGCAUCCAGCUCCAGCCCCAGAGCCUGGGGUGGUAGAUUCCGACUCUGAGGGCCAGUGGGGGCUGGUAGAGCAAAUGCGUUCAGGGCCUGGGAGCCCGGGUGGGGUACUGGUGGAGGGGGGCAAGGGGAAUUCAUUAACUCCUCUCUUUAGUUGGGAGACCCUGGUCUCUACCUCCAGCUCCACAGCAAGAGAAACAGGCUAGACAUAGGGAAGGGCCACCCUGUAUCUUGAGGGAGGACGGGCCCAGGUCUUUCUUAACAUAUUGAGGGGUGGGAAUCAGGCCCAGGUAAUUCAGUGGGAGACAGUGCUUCCCUCUGCCUAGAGACUCUGGUGGCUUCUCCAGUUGAGGAGAAACCAGAGGAAGGGAGGAUUGGGGUCUGGGGGAGGGAACACCACUCACAAAGGCUGACGGUUCCAGACCGAAGUCGUGGGCCCACCAGGAUGCUCACCUGUCCUGGGGGAACCCCUGGGCAGGUUAAGACUACAGAGAUAGGACUUAAGGCUGAGCCUGCAUCCAGUCCCCAGUGACUCACGGCCUCCUCAGCCCAAGAAAGAGCAAUGCGCUGGGACCCGCUGAGCUCUUAUGUUCACCUGCCCUUCUGUUUGUCCCACUUGCUCAUCUGUUUGUCAGGAUGAAGGUUUCCUGACAAGCAUAUCUGCAUUCCUAAGUCUUUACCUUACGACAUCUAGACCCCUCUUUCUUCUUCACCUCCCAUGUGCUCAUGAAACCUCUGCUCUUUGGCCUCCAUGCCACCAUUCUGCUGGUGCUGACAGUCACCAACUACAGUCGCUGGCCACUCCCUUGUGGCCAAACUCAACCACUUCCUGUCUGGGUUCACCUGCUCCCCGAUCUGUUGGCCAUGCCCUCCUGGAUUCUCCCACCCUGCUCUGCCUUCAUUUCGGUAGCUCUGACUCCUCCUCCAGCCUGAGCUCAUUCAGUGUCAUCCAUGCCUUGUCACCUCUGGCCACCCCCAGGUCAGUCCUUGCUCUCCCUGCCUCCUCAUUGUGCCCUCUGCCUCGAGGGCUCACAUCCACUUCCAGGACUUCUCUUUGGCUCCCUGGUCUGUGUCUUUAGCUGACCUCCGCUGAGCUGCAGACCCAUCAAGCCAGCUGCCUGGUCCACCCCCUGCCCCUCAGCACCUCAAAGCCAAUACAUCCACAGCAGGACUCACCUCCCAUCUGUGCUUCUCCAGGAUCACCCACCUCGGCAAAAAGCAUUAGCCAUGUACACAGUUUCCCAAGCUACAGGAAACCUGGGAAUCUUCCUCAAGCUUCCUCUCCUCUUCCCCAGCCCCAUCCAUUCCCAUCUAGUGGGUUGAGUCUAGACUGGCUUCCCAACCACACCUCCCUAGUGCAGCCCCCCCGCUGCCCCCCUGCCCAGCUCGUGCCACUGGCCUGGCCUGGGCCCUGCUCCUCUAGGGAGGUUUCUGUGAAUGUCAAGGAUGAGGCCCACUUCAAAGGAGGCCCUCCAUGCUGCAGCUAGAUUUCUCUUCCUUGCACCCAAACAGGGCAGAGUCACCCCCUUCUGAGCCCCUCUGCCCCAUCUUCUUGCCUUGCUCCUGGUACCCUUUGCUUCAGCAUCCCCAUCCCUGUCCCUGAGGGAGCCACAGGUUUUCCCUGUGCUGUGCCUUCGCUCAUGCUGUUCUCACCUGGAAUGUCGGGUGCUUGAUCAAUGUUGAACUCACUGGAAAGAUGUCAGAGGCCCAGCCUUGCUGCCUGGGCCACAUGCAGGGAUCCAAGCACAUAAGGUCGUUCUGCUGGGAGCACAGACCCAGAUCCCACUCGCACUCUCAGUGUCUCCCCCCGCCGCCUCUGCCCACCUCACUUGUGUCCAGUUAAUGCUAGAAACCAAAGGGCUUUGUCCCAUCCCAACACCCCUCUCCCUCCAUCAGUCAGGAAUGCAUUCUGCGCGUCUUGAAAGUCCUAAUCCAGAUUAACCCACAUGGCGACCCUCACUGCCAAGCAGGUGGGAUCACUUCUGGGAGCACACAUGCCCAGGUGUGGAAGGAAGGUGGGAGGAAGAGUCAUCCUUUUGGCCCCAGUGGGGGACAGAGACGGGGUGAGCUGCUCCUCUCAAGAUCCUGCCUCACUUGGUACGGGGAGGGGGUCCAGGAAGAUCACAGCAGAGCACCCCCUGUCAUCCGAAUAAAGGGUUGGAAGGGAUCCAAGGAAACCUGCCAAUCUCCCGAGGCCAGGCCUGCGGGGGGCGGGGCGGGGAGUCCCUGCCGCACUCCCAUCCACCCCCCAUGUUGUGCCUCUCCCUGCAGACGGUAAAUAUUGGUGUUGUGACUUCAUUAAUAAAGGCUUCUGUGAGCCUGAAAAA